rnacentral:rRNA from 1 species
AGUCACUGACAUUAGAUACCCUGUAGUCCUAACUGUAAACGAUGCGGACUUGGUGUUGGGUGGCUUUGAGCUGCUUCAGUGCCGAAGAGAAAUCGUGAAACGCACCACCUGGGAAGUACGGUCGCAAGGCUGAAACUUAAAGGAAUUGGCGGGGAGCACCACAACAGGUGGAGCCUGCGGUUUAAUUGGAUUCAACGCCGGACAUCUCACCGGAUAAGACAGCUGAAUGAUUGUCAAUCUGAAGGUUUUACAUGACUAGCUG